UGUGGCUGGUGCCCAGUGAGGCUGGUAGAACAUACUGACUGUGAGAACAAAAUUUGUCUGGACCCAAGACUCUACACUCUCCAAAGCAGGAGCAAAGUCACAGCAACUGGGCAAGGAGUCAUGAAGAGACACUGGGGAGCUCUGCUUGGGCUUCUGUGCCUCCAAGUUUGCUGGGUGCUAGGGGUGAAUGUGGAACAGAGUCCUUCAGCCCUCAGCCUCCAGGAAGGAACCAGCUCCACUCUGAGGUGUAAUUUUUCUACUACUGUGGACAAUGUGCAGUGGUUCCGACAGAAUCCUGGAGGCAGCCUCAUCAACCUAUUUGUCAUAGUUUCAGACACGAAGAAGAAUGAAAGAUUAAACGGCACAGUGAAUUCUAAAGAACUGUACAGUACCCUACUCAUCACAGCCUCUCAACUGGAAGACUCAGCCACCUACCUCUGUGCAGUGAGGCACAGUGCUCCCAGGUGA